rnacentral:rRNA from 1 species
UACGGAGGGUGCAAGCGUUAUCCGGAUUUACUGGGUUUAAAGGGUGCGUAGGUGGGUUGGUAAGUCAGUGGUGAAAUACUUUCGCUUAACGAAGGAACUGCCAUUGAUACUACCAGUCUUGAAUACAGUGGAGGUAGGCGGAAUGCGUCAUGUGGCGGUGAAAUGCUUAGAUAUGACGCAGAACACCAAUUGCGAAGGCAGCUUGCUACACUGUUAUUGACACUGAGGCACGAAAGCGUGGGGAUCAAACAGG